rnacentral:ribozyme from 1 species
CCUUCAUAUUGGUCUUUUUACCUUUUAGUGGUGUGAAGGAUAAGUAAAAUAGUUUAAAACUAUUUGAAACUAAAUAUUAG